ensembl:lncRNA
GUCGGGUUGGGAGCGGCGAGGGGCGCGUUUGGAGCGCCCUCCGUGAGCUUCGUGCGGUCCCGUCGUGGCUUCGCACCUCCUAAACGGGAUGCGCGAGGGCUCCCGGAAAGAGACUAGUGAAACAAAAAUAUAUUAAGAAGAAGAUAACUCUGGGAUUUUGUAGCAUUCUCCUGUAAAGCUCAGGAAGACGUUAGUAAUAUGUGGCACACAUUACUCAUCCAAAGUAAUGUAAAGUAAAGUAAAGAAAGAAACUUUAUGCCCUGACUCUAUCACGUGAAGCUAUAUGGAGAAAGACUAUUCAAGAGAUUAUGGGAAUUCGUCAAGCACAAACAGCUGUGACAUCUGUCUUAGAUUUUGAGUUUGAUGGAAUUUUUGUAAUACAGAACAUUUUAAUUAUUAAUGCAAAGGUUGGUGCAUUUUUAUCAACAAUUUGACUGUUCUCACUGAUGUCGCAGUGUUGAAAAACAUUGCAUCAUAUAUGGAAAUAGAAACUGUCCAUGAACUUCCAUUAUAAAAUGUCCCUGGUGGACUAGAACAUUUCAAUUGUUUAUCACAUACACAACAGCAUUAUGACAGGCUGGCUAAAUACAGUAAAACAGGAGAAGAAGAACGUGGGUCCAUAGCUUUCAUUUUUCCGAAUUACAUAACUGCUUCAUAAAACUAAUUUCUUUAAGGACAUAAGAUCAAAUUCUCAUCUCUCAACUUAGCUGGAGUUACCCCAACAAAUCUGGAAUGCUUCAGUAGACUCUCAGUCCUUCAAACCAUUCAUCUUGGUGUAAGCUUGCGUAGCACGAGCCACCUGCUCUCAUGGAAGCUGUCAGCCUGCAGUGAUAGGAACAGUGAACAGGACUGCAUCCUCGAGAGGAGCCUCGCUCGAACACCCUAAAAGGAAGGAGUGCUGAAUGGCUGUCUCAUGGUGGGAGCCCAGCUGGUGGGUGAAACAGGCAGAAAGACCAAAAAGCUGCCAGAGUAAGAGAAACAAUGAGAUCAAAGUGAACCAACUUACCUGUCUCAUUACAUCUGUUUUUCUUACUACUUUUUUUAAAUCCUUUUUCUCACUUAAGGGGAUAUAUAUUAUAAAUGAUAUAUAUUGCAACAUAUCUGUGGCCCAGCAGUGAACCUACUUAGACAUUUAAAUCAGUGUAAAGCAACUUCUGUGGAUUACAUCAAUUUUGACUAAACUACGUGGCAAAAUAUUUGAUAAGGAAAUUGCACGUAUUGAUAAGAAGCAGCAGCUGCUUGUUAUCAUCCAAAUAAAACCAAGAAGCAAGCAGAUAAUAGGAACUGCAAACAUCAGAAUGGAAAAUCUCUCCCUGAGCAGGGCUGUGGUAUCUGCUCUGUCUUUGCCCUAUUUUCACAGCACUCAUCUUGACAAGCAGGACGCAGAGGUACUGCAUGAGUGUGGCACCCAGAGCAUAAUCCAUCACCUCCAUCUGUGAGCAGCCUGGAUUGUGCUUGCAGACUCUGCAGGACCAGGGUGCUUGUGCCCAUCUUCCCAUAGACUUUAAAGCACUUUUCUGAAUAAUUUUUGUGUGAAAAGAACAAAGAACAAAAGAGAGCCUUUUACACCAGGCCAGGCGCUGUGACAUGCUUGGCUCUUGCUCAUGAGACGCAACACAUGAGUAAAGCUGUGGGGCAUGACUGUUGCCAGGUGCCAUUUAGACACGUCUGCCAAGUGACAGUGUUAGCCUUGGUUUGAAAGGCCAUCUAGCUGACAGCUUGCUCUGUGAUCUGCUUGUAGAUUACGGUCCAUUAAUUUGGUCCAUCCUAAAAAUAACCAUUUUCCUUAGACGGUUCCUGCAUUGGAAGUUUGUUUAAGAAAUUCAUUUCACCAGAGUGGUGUCGAUCUGCCUCAUCCUCCAUUAGUGAAGCCCUUGAAGCGUACUUCUCUUGCAAAGGAUGGAAGCAAGCAGCGUUAUUAAAUUCUGCCUUGGCUCACCAUGCACGUUAUGGGCAGAUGAGUCAUUGGCACUAUAGUGACUUUCUUACAGUAGCAUUUCUUCUGUUAUGCUCACAUGAAUUUUUAUAAUGGAAUUGAUUUCCAUGUAGCUUUCAGAAAUGUUCCUUUAUGAAAUUUGCAUCUGCAUUUGAGUCAAAUUAUGUAAAUUUUAUUACAGUGUUCCUAUAAAUGACUUAACUAAAGAAAAUUUACAAUGGAAAAAUAUUUAUUAUUCAAAGUUUUCUAAGCAGCAAGUUUUCAAUGGUAUUUUUCUUGCCCUGCAAAAUAGCGGAGAACACUGAUUCUUGAGGCUUCAUUUCUGUUUGUGCUAAUGCUGAAGAUGUAUUUUAAGGUCACAGCAGUCAUUAUCAUUGGCUGUUUUAAAACAUCCCAAGCAAAUGGUGAUCCGGAUAUUCUAAUUUCCGUUUUUUUCUUCAUUUGGUUAUUCCAAUGUUGAUCUUGCAUCUUCUAGUACUGCUAAGAAAUAGAAGCUUUUGCUGCCAAUAUUGAUAGAAAUUGCUGCUUCUGAGAUAGGGGAAAAAAAAAAAAAACUAUUUGCUUUCAAUUUCACUGAUGCGUGCUGUAGAUGCUUGCCUUGUAACUUGCCCUUGAUUCAGUACAGUAACA